GGACUCACGGAAAGAGAAAAAGAAAAUAGCGCGCGUGAACCGCAACAUGUACAUAUAAAAGUUAACUAUCUCCGCGCAGCAGCAGAAGAGCCAUGUUCCGCUAUAACCGAGUCAAACCAUUUCGGUCGGUUUCUUCUUCUUCUUUUUCCAGCACUUUCCUCGUUUUCACGCGGAACCCGCCACCAGCAGCAGCAGCAGACGGUGAACAGCAGCAGCAGCAGUCGAGGAAAAACCCGAUGAAGAGUGUGACGUGACCGACCGUCGUCGUGUCAUCAUCGGCACCACAAACCGCGCAACCCAUUCUCCCUGCUGACUGCUGCUGCUAUACAGCGAAGUCUGCUAUCAAUUAAAAAAAGUAUAUUGGAUAUCUUUUUUUUGUCUGGCCGGAAGGCGAGAGUCAAUCACUGCGUGACUUGUGCGUUCGGCACCGGUUCAUUCCACUUUUUCUUCUUGUUAUAUUUCCUUUUGGUUGUUUCCUGAAUGGUUAUAACCAAGGGGGGACAAUGUCUACGACCUUAUUAUUACGACAUCACUUUCUAACCUCAAUUAUAACUGAACAAUGCUAUAUCUCUUUUUACUUUUAGAUCUAGUAUAUUACAGCCUAUACCAGCUGUAUAUAUAUAUAAUUUGGUGUGUGUAUACUAGAUAUCCAGACGGCUAAUACAGUUAUGAUAAUUCGUCA